UACGGAGGGUGCGAGCGUUGUCCGGAAUCACUGGGCGUAAAGGGUGCGUAGGCGGGCAGGUAAGUCAGUGGUGAAAUCUCCGAGCUUAACUCGGAAACUGCCAUUGAUACUAUUUGUCUUGAAUAUUGUGGAGGUAAGCGGAAUAUGUCAUGUAGCGGUGAAAUGCUUAGAUAUGACAUAGAACACCAAUUGCGAAGGCAGCUUACUACACAAUGAUUGACGCUGAGGCACGAAAGCGUGGGGAUCAAACAGG
rnacentral:rRNA from 1 species